GGAUAUGAGGGUGAUCUGGCUGUGACACUACUGAUUCCCAGCAUUGAUUUGGCUGAUCUGGCUGGCUAGACAGUUUCCACUUCCUCUCUCACCACUCCAAGUGUGUCCUUCCUGAAGUUUCAUGCUCACAGAGGGCACCCAUGCUGCAUAGAGGAGGACUAUUUCCUUGGUCAAGAGCAUAUAAGUAGGGGCUGGGAGAUGGCUCAGCAGAAUAAGCACUUCCCUGGCAAGCACAAGGGCCCG
rnacentral:snRNA from 1 species